GGUGUCUCCAGCAAGGGGAUAAGUCAGGCCUGGGAGGAACCCUGCCCAGCCUCAGGACCUCAGGGAACAGAAUCGAGGCACCUCCACCAUGGCCUGGACCCCUCUCCUCCUCGGCCUCCUUGCUCACUGCACAGGCUCCGUGGCCUCCUAUGAGCUGUCUCAGCCCCCAUCAGUGGCAGUGAACCUGGGACAGACGGCCAGGAUCACGUGUGGAGGAAACAACAUUGGAAGUUAUUAUGCUUACUGGUACCAGCAGAAGUCAGGCCAGGCUCCUGUGCUGAUUAUCUAUAAGGACAGCAACCGGCCCUCAGGGAUCCCUGACCGAUUCUCAGGCACCAACUCGGGGAACACGGCCACCCUGACCAUCAGCGGGGCCCAGGCCGAGGACGAGGCUGACUAUUACUGUCAGGUGUGGGACAGUGGUGCUUUGUUCGGUGGAGGGACCCAUCUGACCGUCCUCGGUCAGCCCAAGGCGGCCCCCUCGGUCACACUCUUCCCGCCCUCCAAUGAGGAGCUCAGUGCCAACAAGGCCACCCUGGUGUGCCUCAUCAGUGACUUCUACCCC